rnacentral:rRNA from 1 species
UACGGAGGGUGCAAGCGUUAUCCGGAUUCACUGGGUUUAAAGGGUGCGUAGGUGGGCAGGUAAGUCAGUGGUGAAAUCUCCGGGCUUAACCUGGGAACUGCGCUUCUAACUGGCAGGCUUGAGUGUGGCAGAGGGGGGUGGAAUUCCACGUGUAGCAGUGAAAUGCGUAGAGAUGUGGAGGAACACCGAUGGCGAAGGCAGCCCCCUGGGCUAACACUGACGCUCAUGCACGAAAGCGUGGGGAGCAAACAGG